CGGUUGGGAUGAAGUAUACCCCACCCCCUAUAAUACGUCAUUAGCUGAAAAGUUGUGCUGCGUUCAACUAGGUUCUGGAAAGCAGAGUCUCUUAAGCGCCAACGUUAGAAGCAUCUCAGGAUAUUUGAUUCCCAAUCGGUGUUGCUGAAAGAUUAGUAUCAUGCCAAACGCAAACGAAACCGGAAACCUUCUCACAACCUACUUGAUUCUUAUUGCUCUCUUGAUAGCACUUUGGGUGCUGUAUGCUGGACUUUUGCAGUAAAAUCUGUUUAUUCAACUAUUUGUCAAACCGACCACUAGCCUAAUUAUGGAACACCCGUUUAAGCAGUUGUUUGUAUUUUUAUAAGUAUUAAGACAGUAUGUUAGGAAAAUGUAAAUAAAAUUUUGUUUUUACAA